GACGAACGCUGGCGGCGUGCUUAACACAUGCAAGUCGAACGGCAAGGCCCUGCUUUUGUUGGGUGCUCGAGUGGCGAACGGGUGAGUAACACGUGAGUAACCUGCCCUUGACUUUGGGAUAACUUCAGGAAACUGGGGCUAAUACCGGAUAGGAGCUCCUGCUGCAUGGUGGGGGUUGGAAAGUUUCGGCGGUUGGGGAUGGACGCGCGGCUUAUCAGCUUGUUGGUGGGGUAGUGGCUUACCAAGGCUUUGACGGGUAGCCGGCCUGAGAGGGUGACCGGCCACAUUGGGACUGAGGUACGGCCCAGACUCCUACGGGAGGCAGCAGUGGGGAAUAUUGCACAAUGGGCGGAAGCCUGAUGCAGAAACGCCGCGUGCGGGAUGACGGCCUUCGGGGUGUAAACCGCUUUCGCCUGUGACGAAGCGUGAGUGACGGUAAUGGGUAAAGAAGCACCGGCUAACUACGUG
rnacentral:rRNA from 1 species